rnacentral:rRNA from 1 species
GUCUUUUUGAAUAAAAUUUAAAGUUGAAUCUGCCCACUGAUGAAUAAUUAAAGGGCUGCAGUAUAUUGACUGUACAAAGGUAGCAUAAUAAUUAGUCUUUUAAUUGAAGACUUGUAUGAAAGAUUUGAUGAAAUAUAAACUGUCUCUUUUUUAUAAUUAGAAUUUAAUUUUUCAGUAAAAAAGCUGAAAUUAAUUUAAAAGACGAGAAGACCCUAUAGAGUUUUAUAAUUGAGUUAAUUAUAUAUUUGUAUUUAAUUUUAAAGUUAAUUGAUUUAAUUAUUUUAUUGGGGUGAUAGAAAAAUUAAAUUAACUUUUUUUAAAUAUUAUACAUUAAUUAAUGAUUUUAUGAUCCAUAUUUUAUGAUUAAAAGAAAAAAUUACCUUAGGGAUAACAGCGUAAUUUUUUUUUUUAGUUCUUAUAAGAAAAAAAGUUUGCGACCUCGAUGUUGGAUUAAGAUAAAAUUUAAAUGCAGAAGUUUAAAAUUUUGAUCUGUUCGAUCAUUAAAAUCUUACA